CCGAGUUACCUGCCCUCGUGGCAGAACUCCCACCCCUGAUUUACCUUCUUAUUUGUUGCUUCGGCGGCAACGACGCUGCCCUCCGGGGCGCGCCUGCCUGCCGCCGGAGCCCCCCCAAACCCAACCAUUUAUCGUGUCGUCUGAGAAAUUACACAAUCGUGA
rnacentral:misc_RNA from 1 species